rnacentral:rRNA from 1 species
AUUGAACGCUGGCGGCAGGCCUAACACAUGCAAGUCGCACGCGAAAGUUCCUUCGGGGAUGAGUAGAGUGGCGGACGGGUGAGUAACGCGUAGGAAUCUGCCCUGUAGUGGGGGAUAACCCGGGGAAACUCGGGCUAAUACCGCAUACGCCCCACGGGGGAAAGCGGGGGAUCUUCGGACCUCGUGCUAUGGGAGGAGCCUGCGUCGGAUUAGCUAGUUGGUAGGGUAAAGGCCUACCAAGGCGACGAUCCGAGCUGGUCUGAGAGGAUGAUCAGCCACACCGGAACUGAGACACGGUCCGGACUCCUACGGGAGGCAGCAGUGGGGAAUAUUGCGCAAUGGGCGAAAGCCUGACGCAGCCAUGCCGCGUGUGUGAAGAAGGCCUU